rfam:Caenorhabditis briggsae complete genome, chrV
CCAACGGCCCUCUUUAGGGCCACAAAUAUAUAGAAAUCCAUUGAUU